GACUUGAAAUCCGAGUGGUUAAGGAGACAGACUUGAAAUCUGUUGGGCUUCUCCCGCGCAGGUUCGAACCCUUCAGUUA
rfam:Picea glauca, whole genome shotgun sequence.